rnacentral:rRNA from 1 species
UGUGAACUGCAGGACACAUGAACAUCGACAUUUCGAACGCACAUUGCGGUCCACGGAUUAUAUUCCCGGACCACGCCUGACUGAGGGUCGUUUAUCAAUACAAACCAGACUGUUCGUUUCGUACGAACGAUGCAUUGGUCGUUCGUUGUGCGAAUUUGUUAUUUUUCUCUGACAUAUAGACAAUGUUAAGGAAAAUACUUUCGUUACGGCGUCGCCCGAAAUGAUUGAAGAAAUAAAUUUAAAGUCGUAUUCGAGAGCCAAUAUACGAUAGCAGAUUCAUGAAAUAACCGCGCAUAAUGAUUGCUUGUGUCGUGCCAUCUUGAACGCAUCUAGCACGUGCACGAAAAUUUUUUGCGUCAAGGAACUCUUUUUGCGUUUCUUACCAUGUUACAUGACUGAAUCGAUGCUGGUAUGAUAGGAUCUUGAUCGACGAGUCCAUGAGCUUGUGAAUGAAUAUUUAUUUAGAAUAAAGCGGGACCGUUGAAUCGGAUCGAUCAUAAUGAAAAAUCGGAUCGAUAGUCGUAACUGGUGUAGAAUAAGCAUGGAACGCACUUAAAUAUUCACGAAUGUGGAAUAUUCACUCACGAUCACGGACGUUUUUGAACGCUUUCUAUUCGUCUUUCGUGUAAAUUCCUGGUUAUUAAUAGAUGAUUUUGUGAUAGUUUGUGCCGACGAAUCUCGACGUAUUUAUUUUCUUCUUCUUCUCAUCGACAGUGCACAUUAUAAACUGUUUUUAUAAUUUGUAUAGUUUCUCAAAACUAUCAAAAUAAGAGAAAAUAUUAUUAAUUUUGACGACCUCAGAGCAGGCGAGACUACCCCCUAAAUUUAAGCAU